rnacentral:rRNA from 1 species
CGGGGGUACACGAGCGGCGAACGGGUGAGUAACACGUGAGUGACCUGCCCCUGACUCCGGGAUAAGCGGUGGAAACGCUGUCUAAGUACCGGAUAUCGACCUUCCGUCGCAUGGCGGGGGUGGAAGGCCUUGUGCGGUUGGGGAUGGGCUCGCGGCCUAUCAGCUUGUUGGUGGGGUAACGGCCUACCAAGGCGAUUACGGGUAGCCGGCCUGAGAGGGCGACCGGCCACACUGGGACUGAGACACGGCCCAGACUCCUGCGGGAGGCAGCAGUGGGGAAUCUUGCGCAAUGGGCGAAAGCCCUGACGCAGCGACGCCGCGUGGGGAUGACGGCCUUCGGGGUUGUAAAACCUCUUUUACCACUAACGCAGGCUCGGGGUGUUCUCCGGGUUGACGGUAGGUGGGGAAUAAGGACCGGCUAACUACGUGCCAGCCGCCGC